GAAGGGCCAUAGUUCUGUGGCAGAGUAUCUGCUCUGCAUGCAGAAGGUCCUGGGUUCAAUCCCCAGCAUCUUCA